CAAACCUCAUGCCCUACCCUGGGCAGGUGGAGGGCCCGAGGCUGAGGCUGUGGGAGGCCCAGGACACCUAGGAUCCACCAGGCCUGACUGGGACACAGUGACUGCGCUGACCAGGUCUGGCAUCUGGAGAAAGGAAACUUUGUGUUUUGUCUCCCCCUGCUGGCCAGUAGUGGCAUUGCGGCACUUGAGAGGGUCACCUGGAGGACACCGCCUUUGGUUCAACUUUUCCUUGAGGCUGAGCCAGUUGGCAUGAGACUUAAAAUCUGCUGCUCAAGACAACUACUACCAGGGCCAAAAGAAAAAGAGGAUCACCUGACAUCUUGUCAGGAGCCUGCCCAAGACCAGGAUUUCUCUGUAGCCCUGGACUUCCUGGAACUCGCUCUGUAGACCAGAUUGGCUUCAAACUCACAGAGAUCCACCUGCCUCUGCCUCCAGGGUGCUGGGAUUAAAGACACAUGCCACCACUGCCUGGCCACGUGUCCUCUUUGAGUGAGAACUCCAGCCGUAUUCCACCCCGGUCAACUGUGACAGCACCUGCAAAGGACCUGUUUCCAAAUAAGAUCACAUCCGUAGGCACCUGGGCUAGGAUCCCAAUAUGUCUUUUGGAGGGCACAGUUUAUCCCACGGCAUAACCCAACCGCUGUCAGCACUGCUGUGGGGUUGCUCCUGCAGUUCUCGGGGUCCACACUGACUCAGGACUUUGGUUCCUGGACUUCCUCUUCCCCGGGAAACUUUGGCCAGCCUUCUCACCACCGCCUCGUGCCUUACAGAAAACCUCGCUCCCCAUAAGGAAGGUGCCCACAAUGAGAUGCCCAGUAUGAGGGUAUUCAAUGUCCUGGCCUCACCUUCACCUCCCUCAGAGCCUCAGUUUCCCCAUCCUGGCCCAAGACUUGGGCUCUGACCAACCAUCUUCCCUGGCUAGGCCACAGCGUCUCUCUAUCCAGUAACUUCUGUCCCUUGAGGGACUCUGAUGACAAGGUCAUCCUCAUGCUGGCCUCCUGCCCACCUGUGCGCAGCUGAGAGGGUUCAGCUCCCAGCAGCACCUGAGCCGCGGGUGCUAUUACGGUGACACCAGACAGCUUAUGUGGCUGUAGGUUUUGAGACCAGACUGGGUGCCUAUUAAGAUCCUGUCUCAGAAAACCAAACCACUGGGACUGGAGAGAGGACUCAGUGGCUGAGAGUAACAGUUGCUCUUGCAGAGGACCCGGUCUCAGUUCCCAGCACCCAUGUGGGAGCUCAUAGCUGUCUGUAACUCCAGUUUGCAGGGCAUAUGACGCCCUCUCC